rnacentral:rRNA from 1 species
AUACGGAGGGUGCGAGCGUUAAUCGGAAUUACUGGGCGUAAAGCGUACGUAGGCGGUUUGCUAAGUCAGAUGGGAAAGCCCCGGGCUUAACCUGGGAACUGCAUUUGAUACUGGCAGACUAGAGUAUGAUAGAGGGGGGUAGAAUUCCUGGUGUAGCGGUGAAAUGCGUAGAUAUCAGGAGGAAUACCAGUGGCGAAGGCGGCCCCCUGGAUCAAUACUGACGCUGAGGUACGAAAGCGUGGGGAGCGAACAGGAUUAGAAACCCUAGUAGUCC